rnacentral:lncRNA from 1 species
AUGUUAUUGACUCUGGGUUUCGGAAAUUGGGAAUUGAGUUUUAUUAUAGUUUUGAUUCUGAGUUUGUUCUGUUUAUGCUUAAUUGAAGAGUUGGCUAUCUGCCGAGGCCUUUAAGUAUUGUAAUAGCAAUAUAAUUUUUUUUCCAAAUGUGGUUCAGUGGUGUGUUCAAAUGGUAGAGGAAGAAGAGGAGUAAUAGAUAUGAGUUUGGUUUGGAGAGUAGGGAUUGCAGGUUCGGAAAUUUGUGUUUUUUGGUGUUGUGUUCUUCUUCUUUUAGUUUUGUUUGUGCUGGGGUUAGAGAUAUAGGUAUUUGAGUGGAAUGGUUUUAUCAACUAGAUAAAUUAAUCCUCUUUGCUCUGUUUAUAUGUUUGUGAAGUAAAAUUGGUCGCAAGGAAAUCCAUAUUUUCUGGUUGAAGUUGCCUUUUUU